CCCUUCUAAAAUCCACCUGUGGCCCUGGCUGAAAACAUCCUGUUCUAGGCAUACAAAUCAGUUUUGAUGAUCUACCUAUAUAUGCCCAGUUUGCUGAUUAACAAUAUGCAAAUUAGGUACUUGUUUGAUUUUUAAUUUUGCAAAUUGGGGUAUUCGUUCUGUUCCUUGGAUCCUCACAGCCAAUGCUAAAUUACUCUCAUUUCAUAAAUUAUCUGUAGCCAAAAAAUAUAUAGAAUAAUGAAAACGUCACUGGCACAGACUGAGAAAUCAAACAGCACAAAAAGAUACACGACAGACACUGAGUCCUUCACCAAAUGCAGAUCCCCAGGCCCAGCAACCCCGUGACCGAGUUUCUUGGGCGUCAUUCCAGAAAUGUUUCAGAUUAACCCUGAGCUAACAUCUGCCGCCAAUCCUCCUUUUUUUGCUGAUGAAGCCUGGCCAUGAGCCAACAUCUGUGCCCAUCUUCCUCUACUUUAUAUGUGGGACGCCUACCAUAGCAUGGCUUGAUAAGCAGUGCCAUGUCCGCACCCAGGAUCCGAACCUUUGAACCCUGGGCCGAAGAAGUGGAACGUGUGCCCCCAACCGCUGUGCCACCAGGGAUGAAGUGAGGAUCAAAUGAGUUAAAAGCUCGAGUUCUUCGGACUGUGACAGGCAGAGAAAAAGCGCUAAGUGCUGGCCGUUAAUAGUCUAGGUGGCCUUGGAAUCAAACCGAGGGGCCAGUUGCUUCUGCCGUGGUGGUGUUGUCCAAGGCUCAGAGUCAAAAAUGAAAGCGACUUGACUCUAGAGAUCCUUUCUCUUCUAGACAAGAAGGAUGGCCCUGCGACCCCGGAGUCGCCAGGCAACCACUGUGCCUGCUGGUCCUCCUGCCUCCUGCUUCCCC
rnacentral:lncRNA from 1 species